AUUGAACGCUGGCGGCAUGCCUUACACAUGCAAGUCGAACGGCAGCACGGGAGCAAUCCUGGUGGCGAGUGGCGAACGGGUGAGUAAUAUAUCGGAACGUGCCCAGUAGUGGGGGAUAACUGCUCGAAAGAGCAGCUAAUACCGCAUACGACCUGAGGGUGAAAGGGGGGGAUCGCAAGACCUCUCGCUAUUGGAGCGGCCGAUAUCAGAUUAGCUAGUUGGUGGGGUAAAGGCCUACCAAGGCAACGAUCUGUAGUUGGUCUGAGAGGACGACCAGCCGCCCUGGACUGGAGAGACGGCCCAGACUCCUACGGGGGGCGGCAGUGGGGAAUUUUGGACAAUGGGCGCAAGCCUGAUCCAGCAAUGCCGCGUGCAGGAAGAAGGCCUUCGGGUUGUAAACUGCUUUUGUCAGGGAAGAAAUCCUCUAGGUUAAUACCCUUGGGGGGAUGACGGUACCUGAAGAAUAAGCACCGGCUAACUACGUGCCAGCAGCCGCCGUAAUAC
rnacentral:rRNA from 1 species